rnacentral:rRNA from 1 species
GACGAAGGAUGCAAGCGUUAUCCGGAUUCAUUGGGUUUAAAGGGUGCGUAGGCGGCCUAAUAAGUCAGUGGUGAAAUCUCCUCGCUUAACGAGGAAACUGCCAUUGAUACUGUUGGGCUUGAGUACAGAUGCUGUGGGCGGAAUAUGACAUGUAGUGGUGAAGUACAUAGAGAUGUCAUAGAACACCGAUUGCGAAGGCAGCUCACAAAACUGUAACUGACGCUGAGGCACGAAAGUGCGGGGAUCAAACAGG